AGUUCAAGUAUAUUGGUAGAAGAGAAUACAGGACUUCCAGAACAUAUUAUCCCUAUACAAAUUUCUGUACUGCAGGUAGGUGGAUUGCUGGUGGAGAUGGAGCUGAAAAUGCUACCUAAGUUAUAUUCUGUUUUGGUGAGAUGCAGAAAUGGCUCUUUGUUGCAGUUCUGUUCUUCCGCUUUCAUAUGAUGUGGCUACUGACGUGGUGUUGAUGCUGACAGCCUGACAUUGUCCUGAUACGUAGCUUUAUG